rnacentral:lncRNA from 1 species
CCCCCCCUCAUUUGGAUACAAAAAUAAAAAAUAAAUAAGCCCCCCUCGGCCAGCCCCUCCUCUUUUAACCAUGCAUUCUUAAAAUCAUGAUAUAUAUUGCAUUUCUGCAGUAUUUUAAUAAAAUAUAGUACAAUGGUAACUCUGAAUAUGGACAUUUUUUGAUGGUAACCAGACUUAUUGCAAAAAUUAAGAAAAAGUGCCCCCUCAAUGAUGCUUAGGAAACAAUAAUACCCAGGAGGCUUGAUACAGAAAUUAAAGUAGUUAUUUGAUUGAAACUGGUUAACUGGUAGCUAUUUCAAUUCUACUGUAUCUCCUUUUAUAUAGAAUUGAAUUAAUUGCCAAUAUAUUCACAUAGUAUAAUAGUUUGGAAAUAGAAUCAAUACUUGUAUAUUUUUAGCAAAUUAGCAUUGUUAUUGAUCAAACAACAUUGUUUCACAUAGCGACAGACAAGGAAACAUCUGUAUUUAAAUUCACUACUUAUUUUUUAUCCAGACACAAAUUGAUGCAAAAAUUGUUUCAGGUUUGGCUUAG